AAAGGAGCAAGCAAGGAAAAUUUAUCAAAAGGGAAGAACAUUAUUGAUAAAAGAGAACAUGGUGAAAUGUAUACUGCAACAUUUCCAAAUCCUUCUUUACUACAGAUAUGGCCUGAAGGAACAAACAUAGAGGCCCAAACUGAGAAACUUAGAAGUGAAUCCAAAGGUCCUAUUCAGCCCUAUAUUAUUUUAAUCAAAGGACAAUCUACACAAUAUUUUAUUCAGGCUGAUAAUCGCACUCUAACUUUGAACAAUAACUCGCCUAUUAUGGCACUUGAUUUGUUGUUUAAAACAUAUUAUGUUUUCGAUGUGAAGUGUCCAGAAACACUAAUUUAUUUUUUUAAUUUCUUAGAAAACUAUUGCUUUAAAAUAUCCGAUAAAGUACAACAUGCUUUGGUUUCUUCUGUUCAUAUUAAUAUUUGCAAUAUAACAGUAGAUA